rnacentral:tRNA from 5 species
GGGCCUAUAGCUCAAUUGGCAGAGCAACGGACUUUUAAUCCGUGGGUUCAGGGUUCGAUUCCCUGUGGGCCCACCG